rnacentral:tRNA from 1 species
UCCCAGGUGACUCAACGGUAAAGAAUCUGCCUGCCAAGCAGGAGACGUGGGUUCGAUCCCUGGGUUGGGAA